rnacentral:rRNA from 1 species
AAGGGCACCACAAGAACGCGUGGAGCAUGUGGCUUAAUUUGACUCAACGCGGGAAAUCUUACCGGGUCCGGAUAUACUGAAGAUUGACAGGAAAUAAUGAUUAGUUUUUUAACUCUUACGUUUAAUUUGCUGGUCCUUUCAUAAUAGUAUGAUAGGUGGUGCAUGGCCGUUCUUAGUUCGUGAGUGAUCUGUCUGCUUAAUUGCGUUUCAUGUAGGACUUAAAACUCAACAGUGUGCUGCUUUACAAUACCCUUGGUUGUUGUGAAAUUUAUCUGUAGUGAGGGUUUUCGCAUAUUGAUAUAUUUUUUGAGUAAGUACAUCUUAAGCCCUGAACGCAACGAACGUGACCGCAACCCUUUGUAACUACCUUUUUGGAAAAUUGCACCUGGAUUUUUUCAGGUUUUUGUGAUUAGCUAACUUAGGGGACAGCUGCGAUUUCUUUUAAACCAGAGGAAGGAUGCGGCAAUAACAGGUCUGUGAUGCCCUCAGAUGUUCCGGGCUGCACACGUGCUACAAUGAUUAUUGCAGUGAGCACCUCAUUUAAUAAAACUGGUCAUAAAAUCGAAAGAUUUUUUAUUGAUCAGAAUGGGCCUGCCUCGAAAGAGUGUAGGUAAUCAAUACGAAGUAAUGAUUUCUCUGAUUACAAAUUAUAUUUGUUUUUGAUAGCAUACAAUAUGCUGAUGCUAUAUCUCUGAAUAUUAGUCAAAAUAAUUUUUCUCUAUCUUUUUUCUGUGUUAAGUGAGAAUUUUAUAUUUUUGAAAUUUGGUGUGUUAUAGUUUUUCAGUAUGUGCUUUUUGUCAACUCUUGGUGGGGAUAGACCAUUGUAAAUUAUUGGUCUUGUCUUAACUAGGAAUGCCUUGUACGGGUUUUGGUUUAACAUACCACCCGGAAUACGUCCCUGCCCUUUGUACACACCGCCCGUC